GUCUGCGGCCAUACCCUGAACACACCUGUGUGAUCUCGGAAGCUAAGCAGGUUCGGUCUUGGGUAGUACUAGGAUGGGAGACCACCUAGGAAAACCAGAUGCUGUAGGUG
rnacentral:rRNA from 1 species